GACCUACCUUAAAAUUUAGAUUUAAAAAUCUGUUUAAAUGGAAAAAUAAUAAAGGUUUUUUUGAUUAGUAACUUUAAAUGAAGAGUUUUGUUUAUUGAUAGUACUGCGAAGGAAGUUUGGCUUAUUUAAUAGUAUAGAUGAGAUCUAGUACCUUUUGCAUUAUGGCUUAACGAGAUGUGAAGAUAGUAUAGUCUUGACUAGAAAGAGAAAGAGUUAUAACUAAACAGGAAGAUUUAAUGUUGCAAAAUUGAGUUUAGAUUUGGUUAUGGAAGUGAAAUGCUAACGGGUUUUCUGAUAGCUAGUUAAGAAAGAAAAACAUUUUAGUGUUAAUUGCAAGAGGCUGAACUACUUUUGUUUUUUAUUUGGUUAGGAUUGUAAGUUUAUAUUUUUUAGGUUGAGCUAGAAAGUAGAAGGAAAAUUUUUCUGGUUAGAAGAUAUUAUGUGGGUUUAGUAGUUUCUAUCAUUUUUAUGGUUUUAUAACAAAUUGUUUAGUAAUAAAUUAUAUUGAUUGGGUUUUCUAUUUUAUUUCUUCUCGGUUUAGAAUUAAAUAAGAACUGAUGUUUAUGCUAAGAUUAGUAUUUGUUUAUUUUACUGUUUCUGAUUUUAGAUAGGAGUGACUUGGAAAUUGGGAAAGGUUAUAUAAAUGGAGAAAAGGAACUCGGCAAAUUAGGACUUCGCCUGUUUAUCAAAAACAUCGCUCUUUGUAGAAACGAAGUAAAGAGUCGUACCUGCCCGGUGAGUGUUUUAACGGCCGCAGUACCCUGACUGUGCAAAGGUAGCAUAAUCAUUUGUCUUUUAAAUGGAGGCUGGAAUGAAUGGUUUGACGUGGUCCAACUGUCUCUUUUUUAUUAGCUAAAAUUUAAUUUUUAGGUGAAGAAGCCUGAGUGAAAUCGAAAGACGAAAAGACCCUGUCGAACUUUAAAGUAUUCUCAAAAUAUUUUCUUAAUAGAGUAAAGGUUCUUUGGGAUUCUUUUUUGUUGGGGUGACAAAAGAACAUAAAAAGCUUCUUUGAGUUAAUAAAACUAAUUGGUUGAAACGAUCCAUUAGAGUUGUAAUGAAUUAAGAUAAGUUACCGCAGGGAUAACAGCGUUAUUUUUUUGGAGAGUUCGAAUUGAAGAGAAAGAUUGCGACCUCGAUGUUGGAUUGGAGAUCCUAAUAGGUGCAGAGGCUUAUUUAAGUAGGGGGUCUGUUCGACCUUUAAAUUUCCACAUGAUCUGAGUUCAAACCGGCGUGAGCCAGGUUGGUUUCUAUCUUCGAUUGUUUAAUGGUACCGAUUUUAGUACGAAAGGAUUAAAUUGGUGAAAUUUUUUUAUUGUU
rnacentral:rRNA from 1 species